AUGUGUGUUGAUUAUACUGAUCUCAAUCGGGCAUGCCCGAAAGAUGCAUUUCCUCUACCCAACAUAGAUAUGCUGGUCGACAACUCGGCCGAUUAUAAAAUACUGUCAUUUAUGGAUGCCUAUUUAGGCUAUAACCAAAUCCCAAUGGCUGUAAGCGACAAGCAUUGCACUGCUUUCAUGACCAGCUCGGGCAACUAUUACUACAACGUGAUUCCCUUUGGUCUAAAAAAUCAGGAGCAACAUACCAACCUAUGA